ACCAGCAUUCCAUGUCUCAAAAUGAGGGCCAACGUUCGGAAGACCAACAGCAAUGCUUAGCAGAGAAAUCUUGUUCACACCAGCUCUCAGAUUUAUACCGUUGCUGAAAGUUAGUUUUGGGUUUUCUAAACUUCCGUACACAGUUCCUGCUAAUUGACCAUUCACGAAUACAUGCAAUGCAUGGCCAGCAGAGAAGACAGUAAGCCAAGGCCAAUUUCCACUAUUCAAAAAUCCUUCUGUUGGAUCAAUCUCAAUGUCAGUCAUAUACCACAAGUAAUCAGAUACAUCUCUUGUGAUAUUAAUCUGCUCCAAUAACCCAACAACUGUGAAAGUGUCGUCUUCAUGCGAUGCUGCGUCUUCAUUGAAUGACUCCCAUGAGAAUCCUCUACUGACUGGAGUCAUCUUCAUCUGAGCACUUUGAGCACCAACCCUUGCAGUAUUAUAGACAGUGUUCUUGCAGUCGGGAAGAAUGCUGAUAGACCAGGGUGGCAAGUUAUAAUGCAUGUUCCCAAAUGCCACUUUAGCAAAAGAGUGCUGGUUGUAAUUUGCUAGGAAGGCAGCGCAGGCCCCAGACUCUGACUUGAAAACACGUGCCUCUUGAUA
rnacentral:misc_RNA from 1 species